UUGCUAUCACAAUUUAUAGAUUAAUAUAAAAAUUUUUGAUGCUAUGAGAUGGUCUCAUCAAUGUGCAACAAUUGAACUGGAUUUCCAACUUCCUGAGAGAUUCAACCUCACGCUAGGAUUUUAUGGCUUUCUCCCCAUCAAGUUGUAGUAAUUCCUGUCAGUAGUAAAUAUGAUGAUUAUGCCGAACCGGUAAAUUUAAUUUGAUUCAAAAGAAGUUCCAUGCAGCUGGUUAUCGUGUUGAUACAGACUUGGAUCACGGAUCAACACUAAAUAAGAAAGUUCGCAAUGCACAACUUUCACAGUACAACUUCAUUCUUGUUGUUGGUGAAAAAGAGACGGUCUCAGACACGGUCAACGUCAGAACACGUGACAACAAAGUACUCGGUGAAAAAUCGGUCAUGGCCGUGAUCGAACGCUUGCGAGAUUUAGUCAGCUCACGAAGUCUGACAAGCGAAGAUUUUUGAAGUAAAACAACAUUUUUAUGAAAAAUAGGUACGCGUACAUGCCACUGGUCACUGGCAAACUGGCGGCAUUGGUCACUAAUACUUUAUCAGUGGUGGUAAUAUUGAUUUUAUCGUGGUGGUAAAUUCUUCCAUUGGUAAUUUAUGGCGAUAACCAUCAGCAACUUUUCA